rnacentral:rRNA from 1 species
GAGAAGAUAGAAGUGUCAGAACCAGCUUAUGACUCGAGAAUACUGUUCGAAUAAUAACCUCAGACCUUAGACAUAUCGAUGGGAAUAGGGCAGAGGUAUGCUGAUAGGUGACGCUAGGGAUAAUGUGUACUGUAAAGCGAGCGGUGAAUGCUUGGACCUAUAUAUGACGACGUACUGCGAAAGCAUAGAGUAGGACGUUACCGUUAUCAAGAACGACAGUUGGGGGAUCGAAGACGAUCAGAUACUGUCGUAGUCUCAACCAUAACGUAUGCCAACUAGGGAUUGGAAGUCGAUCUUAUAUAUGCCACUUCAGCACCUUAUGAGAAAUCAAAGCAUCUGGGUUCCGGGGGGAGUAUGGUCGCAAGGUUGAAACUUAAAGGAAUUGACGGGAGGGCACCACCAGGAGUGGAGCCUGCGGCUUAAUUUGAUUCAACACGGGAAAACUUACCAGGUCCGGACAAAGUAAGGAUUGACAGAUUGAAAGCUCUUUCUUGAUUCUUUGGGUGGUGGUGCAUGGCCGUUGUUAGUUGGUGGAGUGAUUUGUAUGGUUAAUUCCGUUAACGAACGAGACCUCAGCCUGCUAAAUAGUGUUUUCAUCUUUGGAUGCUUAUACUUGUUAGAGGGACUACUUAUGCUAUAGGUGAGCGGAAGCGUGAGGCAAUAACAGGUCUGUGAUGCCCUUAGAUGUUCUGGGCCGCACGCGGGCUACAUUGGUGGUCUCAACAAGCCUUCACUUGGUUGAAAAGCCAGGUUAAUCUUUGAAAUAUCACCGGGCUUGGGAUAGACGAUAGCAAUCUUUAGUCUUCAACGAGGAAUUCCUAGUAAACGCGAGUCAUCAGCUCGCAUUGAUUACGUCCCUGCCCUUUGUACACACCU